rnacentral:tRNA from 1 species
GUCCCCAUCGUCUAGACGGCCUAGGACACCGGGUUUUCAUCCCGGCAACAGGGGUUCGAAUCCCCUUGGGGACGCCA